GACGAACGCUGGCGGCGUGCUUAACACAUGCAAGUCGAACGGAAAGGCCCUGCUUUUGUGGGGUGCUCGAGUGGCGAACGGGUGAGUAACACGUGAGUAACCUGCCCUUGACUUUGGGAUAACCUCAGGAAACUGGGGCUAAUACCGGAUAGGAGCUCCUGCUGCAUGGUGGGGGUUGGAAAGUUUCGGCGGUUGGGGAUGGACUCGCGGCUUAUCAGCUUGUUGGUGGGGUAGUGGCUUACCAAGGCUUUGACGGGUAGCCGGCCUGAGAGGGUGACCGGCCACAUUGGGACUGAGAUACGGCCCAGACUCCUACGGGAGGCAGCAGUGGGGAAUAUUGCACAAUGGGCGGAAGCCUGAUGCAGCAACGCCGCGUGCGGGAUGACGGCCUUCGGGUUGUAAACCGCUUUCGCCUGUGACGAAGCGUGAGUGACGGUAAUGGGUAAAGAAGCACCGGCUAACUACGUGCCAGCAGCCGCGGUGAUACGUAGGGUGCGAGCGUUGUCCGGAUUUAUUGGGCGUAAAGGGCUCGUAGGUGGUUGAUCGCGUCGGAAGUGUAAUCUUGGGGCUUAACCCUGAGCGUGCUUUCGAUACGGGUUGACUUGAGGAAGGUAGGGGAGAAUGGAAUUCCUGGUGGAGCGGUGGAAUGCGCAGAUAUCAGGAGGAACACCAGUGGCGAAGGCGGUUCUCUGGGCCUUUCCUGACGCUGAGGAGCGAAAGCGUGGGGAGCGAACAGGCUUAGAUACCCUGGUAGUCCACGCUGUAAACGGUGGGUACUAGGUGUGGGGUCCAUUCCACGGGUUCCGUGCCGUAGCUAACGCUUUAAGUACCCCGCCUGGGGAGUACGGCCGCAAGGCUAAAACUCAAAGGAAUUGACGGGGCCCCGCACAAGCGGCGGAGCAUGCGGAUUAAUUCGAUGCAACGCGUAGAACCUUACCUGGGUUUGACAUGGAUCGGGAGUGCUCAGAGAUGGGUGUGCCUCUUUUGGGGUCGGUUCACAGGUGGUGCAUGCCUGUCGUCAGCUCGUGUCGUGAGAUGUUGGGUUAAGUCCCGCAACGAGCGCAACCCUUGUUCACUGUUGCCAGCACGUUAUGGUGGGGACUCAGUGGAGACCGCCGGGGUCAACUCGGAGGAAGGUGGGGAUGACGUCAAGUCAUCAUGCCCCUUAUGUCCAGGGCUUCACGCAUGCUACAAUGGCUGGUACAGAGAGUGGCGAGCCUGUGAGGGUGAGCGAAUCUCGGAAAGCCGGUCUCAGUUCGGAUUGGGGUCUGCAACUCGACCUCAUGAAGUCGGAGUCGCUAGUAAUCGCAGAUCAGCAACGCUGCGGUGAAUACGUUCCCGGG
rnacentral:rRNA from 1 species